CUGUGUGUAGUUUAAAAAAAACAUGAAUCCACGAAAUUCAGACCAUGAGUUCAAAUCCCAUCACACAAA
rnacentral:tRNA from 1 species